GACGAACGCUGGCGGCGUGCUUAACACAUGCAAGUCGAACGAAGAGCGAAGGAAGCUUGCUUCUAUCAAUCUUAGUGGCGAACGGGUGAGUAACGCGUAAUCAACCUGCCCUUCAGAGGGGGACAACAGUUGGAAACGACUGCUAAUACCGCAUACGAUCUAAUCUCGGCAUCGAGGAUAGAUGAAAGGUGGCCUCUACAUGUAAGCUAUCACUGAAGGAGGGGAUUGCGUCUGAUUAGCUAGUUGGAGGGGUAACGGCCCACCAAGGCGAUGAUCAGUAGCCGGUCUGAGAGGAUGAACGGCCACAUUGGGACUGAGACACGGCCCAGACUCCUACGGGAGGCAGCAGUGGGGAAUCUUCCGCAAUGGACGAAAGUCUGACGGAGCAACGCCGCGUGAGUGAUGACGGCCUUCGGGUUGUAAAGCUCUGUUAAUCGGGACGAAAGGCCUUCUUGCGAAUAGUGAGAAGGAUUGACGGUACCGGAAUAGAAAGCCACGGCUAACUACGUG
rnacentral:rRNA from 1 species